AGAAAGUGUGCACAAUUACUAUGUAAAUAAGGGACUUCACUUUAGAAUUCAAUGUUUAUCUCUUUCAGAAGAUUUAAAAUGGUCUUGACUAUAAAGGAAAUGACAUCUGACUAAUCAAUACUGACAACUAAAUUUUCCAGCAUAUAAAUGGAACUAGAAGCUGUGUUUUAAGGCCACAUCCAUCUAAGCAAUUCAUGAAGUUUUGCCCUCAGGAGGAUUCAUUGGCUUUAUUUGCUUGUGGCUGAGAUUUGCUGAUCUCGUGGGUAUGCCUCACCCACAGUGCCUCCUUUCCUCACUUCUCUGGAGAUGCAGCACCAAAGGAAAGAAGAAUUGACCAGGGGAAUUCAUGUUGUCGGAUUCUGGUACACACACAAUUAUGUUUCUGCCCUUCUUGAAUGGGAAUGAAGCAGCAAUGCCCAAAAUUCUCACCCCAUCCAGACUACUUAAUAUAAGUGCUGAAUGAAGGAACAGAUAGUAAUUGCUAAAUCCAACGUUCAAAUGGAAGCCCAUCCUGUAACAAAAGCUGCGCUGUUCCUGUUCAUCAAUCCAUGGGACCGUGGAGAAAGGAGAAUGUGCUGGGAGCCCUGCCUAAUGAAAUACGCCAAUGAUGUGUUCUUCAGCACAGGAGUGAUAUAUCAGGGGGCACAGGAUGAACCAGUUUUUACUUUGAUUUUGGAAAGAGAGUUGGCUUUGAUAAUUUAUACAAACAAUUUUCUCUUUAUACCACAUAUCAUCUUUUAUUGAAUAACAGGAAAUAAAAAUGAAAUGGC
rnacentral:lncRNA from 1 species